rnacentral:rRNA from 1 species
AUUGAACGCUGGCGGCAUGCCUUACACAUGCAAGUCGAACGGCAGCACGGGAGCAAUCCUGGUGGCGAGUGGCGAACGGGUGAGUAAUAUAUCGGAACGUGCCCAGUCGUGGGGAUAACGUAGCGAAAGCUACGCUAAUACCGCAUACGAUCUAUGGAUGAAAGCGGGGGAUCGCAAGACCUCGCGCGAUUGGAGCGGCCGAUAUCAGAUUAGGUAGUUGGUGAGGUAAAGGCUCACCAAGCCGACGAUCUGUAGCUGGUCUGAGAGGACGACCAGCCACACUGGGACUGAGACACGGCCCAGACUCCUACGGGAGGCAGCAGUGGGGAAUUUUGGGACAAUGGGCGAAAGCCUGAUCCAGCAAUGCCGCGUGAGUGAUGAAGGCCUCGG